ensembl:rRNA 5S_rRNA 5S ribosomal RNA
AGCCACAGCUAUAUCACCCUGCAGCCCAAGACCGGAUACUCACUGAAGCUAAGCAGGGCUGAGACUGGUUAGUACCUGGAUGGGAGAAUACUUGGGAAAACUAGGUUGCUGUUGGAA